rnacentral:rRNA from 1 species
UACGGGGGGGGCAAGCGUUGUUCGGAAUUACUGGGCGUAAAGGGCUCGUAGGCGGCCAACUAAGUCAGACGUGAAAUCCCUCGGCUUAACCGGGGAACUGCGUCUGAUACUGGAUGGCUUGAGAUUGGGAGAGGGAUGCGGAAUUCCAGGUGUAGCGGUGAAAUGCGUAGAUAUCUGGAGGAACACCGGUGGCGAAGGCGGCAUCCUGGACCAACACUGACGCUGAGGAGCGAAGGCUAGGGGAGCAAACAGG